rnacentral:rRNA from 1 species
CCUACGGGCGGCUGCAGUGGGGAAUUUUCCGCAAUGGGCGAAAGCCUGACGGAGCAACGCCGCGUGCACGACGAAGGCCUUCGGGUUGUAAAGUGCUGUCAGAAGGGAAGAAGGUCGACCAGCCGAACAGGUUGGUAGGCUUGACGGUACCUUCAGAGGAAGCCACGGCUAAUUACGUGCCAGCAGCCGCGGUAAUACGUAAGUGGCAAGCGUUAUCCGGAAUUACUGGGUGUAAAGGGUGUGUAGGCGGCUUAUUAAGUCCUGUGUUAAAUCCCACGGCUUAACUGUGGGCUUGCGCGGGAAACUGGUAGGCUUGAGUAGAGGAGAGGUAACUGGAAUUCCUAGUGUAGCGGUGAAAUGUGUAGAUAUUAGGAAGAACACCAGUGGCGAAGGCGGGUUACUGGCCUCUUACUGACGCUGAGACACGAAAGCCGGGGGAGCAAACAGGAUUAGAUACCCGUGUAGUC